rnacentral:lncRNA from 1 species
CAUUCUCUAGUUGAUUGAUAAAAACUAAAAUAAUUGUUGACCUUAAGAAUGAUUUUGAUGAUCAUAAAAUAUUAAAGCAUAAAGUUAAACUAAUAUCUUUCAAGUUUUCUAAAGAAUGUUUUUAUAGAAAGAAAGUAUCCUUAGAAAGGCUUGAAAACAAUUGCGAAGAAUUUGAGCCAAGAAAAAUUAAAAUUGGAGUCAAGUUACUUGAGAAAGAUAAUUUUGAAGAGGUCGAAUCGACUCCUGAUA